UUCCAGGAAAAGCCUCUAAGCAUCAGGUAACAUCAAAUCGUACCCCAAACCGACACAGGUGGUCAGGUAGAGAAUACCAAGGCGCUUGAGAGAACUCGGGUGAAGGAACUAGGCAAAAUGGUGCCGUAACUUCGGGAGAAGGCACGCUGAUAUGUAGGUGAAGUCCCUCGCGGAUGGAGCUGAAAUCAGUCGAAGAUACCAGCUGGCUGCAACUGUUUAUUAAAAACACAGCACUGUGCAAACACGAAAGUGGACGUAUACGGUGUGACGCCUGCCCGGUGCCGGAAGGUUAAUUGAUGGGGUCAGCGCAAGCGAAGCUCUUGAUCGAAGCCCCGGUAAACGGCGGCCGUAACUAUAACGGUCCUAAGGUAGCGAAAUUCCUUGUCGGGUAAGUUCCGACCUGCACGAAUGGCGUAAUGAUGGCCAGGCUGUCUCCACCCGAGACUCAGUGAAAUUGAACUCGCUGUGAAGAUGCAGUGUACCCGCGGCAAGACGGAAAGACCCCGUGAACCUUUACUAUAGCUUGACACUGAACAUUGAGCCUUGAUGUGUAGGAUAGGUGGGAGGCUUUGAAGUGUGGACGCCAGUCUGCAUGGAGCCGACCUUGAAAUACCACCCUUUAAUGUUUGAUGUUCUAACGUUGACCCGUGAUCCGGGUUGCGGACAGUGUCUGGUGGGUAGUUUGACUGGGGCGGUCUCCUCCUAAAGAGUAACGGAGGAGCACGAAGGUUGGCUAAUCCUGGUCGGACAUCAGGAGGUUAGUGCAAUGGCAUAAGCCAGCUUGACUGCGAGCGUGACGGCGCGAGCAGGUGCGAAAGCAGGUCAUAGUGAUCCGGUGGUUCUGAAUGGAAGGGCCAUCGCUCAACGGAUAAAAGGUACUCCGGGGAUAACAGGCUGAUACCGCCCAAGAGUUCAUAUCGACGGCGGUGUUUGGCACCUCGAUGUCGGCUCAUCACAUCCUGGGGCUGAAGUAGGUCCCAAGGGUAUGGCUGUUCGCCAUUUAAAGUGGUACGCGAGCUGGGUUUAGAACGUCGUGAGACAGUUCGGUCCCUAUCUGCCGUGGGCGCUGGAGAACUGAGGGGGGCUGCUCCUAGUACGAGAGGACCGGAGUGGACGCAUCACUGGUGUUCGGGUUGUCAUGCCAAUGGCACUGCCCGGUAGCUAAAUGCGGAAGAGAUAAGUGCUGAAAGCAUCUAAGCACGAAACUUGCCCCGAGAUGAGUUCUCCCUGACUCCUUGAGAGUCCUGAAGGAACGUUGAAGACGACGACGUUGAUAGGCCGGGUGUGUAAGCGCAGCGAUGCGUUGAGCUAACCGGUACUAAUGAACCGUGAGGCUUAACCUUACAACGCCGAAGGUGUUU
rnacentral:rRNA from 1 species